GGGCUACCAACUACCAACACAACAGCAGCAGGUCCUAAUCAAUGCUACUAAGGGGUGGCCUUUUCAUCUCACUCUGCAACUUUCACGGUUUCGUGAUUCGUCGUGGGGGACAAAAGUCCUAUAACUUUUUAAUUUAAUCGUUUUUGAGGACUGUUUACCGUGAGUUUCCACUACAUUUGCCUACAUUUUUGAUCCAGAAAGCAGGCAUGGCUGUUGGACUCGGGAGGAGCGAGCCAAAGCGUCAGUGACUGCCUUGUCACACACCCCACUCUGAAGAAGGGAUAUGCAUGGUCUCAACACCGGACAGAUCUCUCAGGAAAUUCCUAAUUUUGCCAAGGGUCACCUGUUCUCCGGGCUGGUUUGUACACCUGGAAAAGCUUCUAUUUUCACUUCUGUCCGGAGGAGUAUGACUGGCUGUGUAUGUUCCUGAUAAAGACCAUCUCUAUCCUCCACCUUUUAAAUAGUCUGGGAUCUGAAGCUCCGUGCCAGGAAGGGACAGCUGGGACAUUGAGCGUCACUAUGGCAUCUGAGGACAUAGCAGCUGCUGUGGGUCGUGGGACCGUGCUGGAGUCUGCCGUGUCUGCCGAGACCAGAAAUGACUUUAUCACUUCAGACUACAGCAUGUCUUGGAGUCCAAGCAAAGCACGCCCACGUUCUCACCAGCCAGAAGUUAGCAACCAGGGCAGCAGAGGCUGCUGCUCACCCCUCCCUCUGUCUCUGAAGUUAUCUUAUGACACCGGGCAGGGGAUGUUUUUGGAUGCAGGAUGCAAUUGCUGGGAUUACUCUAACCCUGAACAUGCUAGUGCCUUAGACCAGCUCAGCGCCACGUCUCUGGGGGAGCGGAGGAUGGGAGGGUUGGGUUUUAGGGCCUGGAAGGCUGGUUGCAGAAGGACCUGGCACCCCAUCGUAUCAGUUAGAGGGCACGGCGUGGAAACUCUGGCCAUCAGCCUGCGGGUUUGCAGAGGGCUGCUCGGCUACUCCGGAGUCAGACUCUCGGAGGUAAGCACGUUUGUUCUUCACCCUCAGGCUACAGGUUUCAUGUAAGAACCCUCUUAUCAGAGCUCUGUGCAGCUGCAGCGGCUUUCUGUUAUGAAAGUGUCGUUUUAGGUCCCACACACGAAAAAUCUAC
ensembl:lncRNA